GACGUAGGGAGCAAGCGUUGUCCGGAAUCAUUGGGCGUAAAGCGCGCGUAGGUGGCUUCAUAAGUCCGUUGUGAAAGUCAAAGGCUCAACCUUUGAAAGCCGAUGGAUACUGUGGAGCUAGAGUACGGAAGAGGCGAGUGGAAUUCCUGGUGUAGCGGUGGAAUGCGCAGAUAUCAGGAGGAACACCAAUAGCGAAGGCAGCUCGCUGGGACGUUACUGACACUGAGGCGCGAAAGCGUGGGGAGCGAACAGG
rnacentral:rRNA from 1 species